rnacentral:tRNA from 1 species
GCGCUGGUCGUCUAGCGGUCUAGGACUCCUCCCGGGCAGGGAGACAACACCGGUUCGAAUCCGGUCCAGCACACCA